UGCUCGAACCAGAGAGAGGCCCCUUCUGCGUGUGUUGAGCAACGGGACGUCCUUUCGAUGCUUCCAUUAGUCACAAGCUGUCGUCGGCGGGAACACUCAGACACGAAGCGUUCGACCCGUUGUGGAACGGUACCUCGGGCUUCGGAAGAGCAAUUACUGAAUGCCCACAAUCUCCCCCUACUGUACAUCUCUUGAAACGUUCCCAGGCUGCAGGGUCCCCGGGAGGCGAGGUUUAUCUGGACGGGAAAACGUUUUCAAUCUCCACAUAAUGUUCCACUUGGGCACCUUUCGAAGCAACUCUGAAGGUUCUCGGGUCUUGUGACAAGCCGUCAAGGGUCUCCUCUGGGUAUCCUGGAUCAUCUCUGGCCGCAUCAUAAUCAAAUCUUCACUUAGAUUG